GAUGAACGCUGGCGGCGUGCCUAAUACAUGCAAGUCGAGCGAACAGACGAGGAGCUUGCUCCUCUGACGUUAGCGGCGGACGGGUGAGUAACACGUGGAUAACCUACCUAUAAGACUGGGAUAACUUCGGGAAACCGGAGCUAAUACCGGAUAACAUGUUGAACCGCAUGGUUCAACAGUGAAAGACGGUCUUGCUGUCACUUAUAGAUGGAUCCGCGCCGCAUUAGCUAGUUGGUAAGGUAACGGCUUACCAAGGCAACGAUGCGUAGCCGACCUGAGAGGGUGAUCGGCCACACUGGAACUGAGACACGGUCCAGACUCCUACGGGAGGCAGCAGUAGGGAAUCUUCCGCAAUGGGCGAAAGCCUGACGGAGCAACGCCGCGUGGGUGAAGAAGGUCUUCGGAUCGUAAAACUCUGUUAUUAGGGAAGAACAAAUGUGUAAGUAACUAUGCACGUCUUGACGGUACCUAAUCAGAAAGCCACGGCUAACUACGUG
rnacentral:rRNA from 1 species